GUAGACCCGUUACAUCUUCCGCGCAGGCCGACUCGACCAGUGAGCUAUUACGCUUUCUUUAAAUGAUGGCUGCUUCUAAGCCAACAUCCUGGCUGUCUAUGCCUUCCCACAUCGUUUCCCACUUAACCAUGACUUUGGGACCUUAGCUGGCGGUCUGGGUUGUUUCCCUCUUCACGACGGACGUUAGCACCCGCCGUGUGUCUCCCGUGAUAACAUUCUUCGGUAUUCGGAGUUUGCAUCGGUUUGGUAAGCCGGGAUGGCCCCCUAGCCGAAACAGUGCUCUACCCCCGAAGAUGAGUUCACGAGGCGCUACCUAAAUAGCUUUCGGGGAGAACCAGCUAUCUCCCGGUUUGAUUGGCCUUUCACCCCCAGCCACAAGUCAUCCGCUAAUUUUUCAACAUUAGUCGGUUCGGUCCUCCAGUUAGUGUUACCCAACCUUCAACCUGCCCAUGGCUAGAUCACCGGGUUUCGGGUCUACACCUUGCAACUAUUCGCCCAGUUAAGACUCGGUUUCCCUACGGCUCCCCUAUACGGUUAACCUUGCUACAAAAUAUAAGUCGCUGACCCAUUAUACAAAAGGUACGCAGUCACACCACGAAGGUGCUCCCACUGCUUGUACGUACACGGGUUCAGGUUCUAUUCCACUCCCCUCGCCGGGGUUCUUUUCGCCUUUCCCUCACGGUACUGGUUCACUAUCGGUCAGUCAGGAGUAUUUAGCCUUGGAGGAUGGUCCCCCCAUAUUCAGACAGGAUGUCACGUGUCCCGCCCUACUCAUCGAACUCACGACCUGUGUAUUUUAGUGUACGGGUCUAC
rnacentral:rRNA from 1 species